rnacentral:tRNA from 1 species
CCCUGUGUGGCUCAGUGGUUGAGCAUCAACCUAUGAACUUGGAGGUCAUGGUUCGAUUCCUGGUCAGGGC